rnacentral:rRNA from 1 species
UUGCAAUUUAUCUACUAACUUACUUCUAUAAUUAAUGAAACAUCGUUAAAUCAAGUAAGAUGUGAUAGAACUUUAAUAUGUGAAUACUUAAGUACCGCAAGGAAUAAUAAAAACAAAAAACAAUAGUAUUAGAUACGUACUUUUUGCAUCACGGCUUAGCAAGAAUAAUUCAAGGUUUUGAUAUCUCGAAAUUAGCGUGCUAUUUUUUAUAGGCUUAUUAGAGUCUUAAUUCUAAGCGUAGUAAAGCUUAAAUAAUAAUAAAAGAUAGAGAUGAGAUUUCAUCCGUGCUAAAGAUAGCUAGUUUCCUCCGAAAGGCAUAUAAGUGCCGGGGCAAGCCAUCCAUUACCGCUUUAAAGGUUAUAAAAGCAGCAUAAGAUUAGCCCUAACUUUUUUUGAGGAUAAGCUCAGAAAAGAAAUUAAGGUACAUAUAGUAAUUAUUAGUUGUGUGGCUUAAGAUUGGCUAUCACAAAAGUUUGUUAUAAAAUAUUUAAUUAAUAAGACAAAAUUAAUAUAUGAAACAUCUUGAAAAACAGGAGGACAACCGUUUAAACUGUAAAAAGCGUUAGGCUUAUGCUAAGAUGAGUACAUGAGUACUACAAUUUGUAAUAAAAACAAUAAUCCAUCAGAUAAAUUUUGUAUAAUUUAUAAUGUUCUAAUAUUAAGUAAGGAAAAGGAACUCGGCAAAUCCUUGCUUCGCCUGUUUAUCAAAAACAUGGCUCUUUGAAUAUAAAAGAUAAAGAGUCGAGCCUGCCCAGUGAAAGUUUUUAACGGCCGCGGUACUCUGACCGUGCAAAGGUAGCAUAAUCAUUUGCCUUAUAAUUGAAGGCUAGUAUGAAUGGUUUGACGAAAGCAAAGCUGUCUCUUUUAUUAUUUUUUGGAAUUUAACUUUCAGGUGAAGAGGCCUGAUUUUUAUUGAAAGACAAGAAGACCCUGUCGAGCUUAAAAGAAAAAGCAGAAUUUAAAUAUACUAGCUAGAUAAAAAACCUGCAUAGCUUUUUAAUUGGGGCGAUUAAGGAACAGAUAAAGCUUCCUGUUUAUACAAUACUAAUGAGUUUAGAUCCAGCUAGUUUGUCUGAUCAGAAAAAUUAGCUACCGCAGGGAUAACAGCAUAAUCUCUCUUGAGAGACCUAAUCGAAAGAGGGGGUUGUGACCUCGAUGUUGGACUAGGAUAUCCUAAAGAUGCAGAAGUCUUUAUAGGUU